GGCACCUUGGCGCAGUUGGCUAGCGCAUCUGUCUAACAUUCCUUAACCACAACUCGGUUUGUGACUUUGUGAAUAUCACACAGAAGGUCUUGAGUUCGAGCCUCAAAGGUGUCA